CCUCUCUCUUUCUCUCUCUCGCCGCCUGUCGAAGAACCCUGUGAAGUUCUCGGACGCUUCUGUCAAUCACUGCCAGCACCUCCCUUCAUUCAUUCAUUCAUCCUCUGUUCCAAGCCUUCCGAGCUGGAAAGGACAGCAGAGGCCAUCCAGCCCAUCCAGUAGCCGACCAAGCAUCCCCUUAUCCCCCACCGAAGGCCCUCAAGCAUUAGCUCGGAGAGUCCCUAGUUAGGGGAGCACUGGCAGCCCAAUCCACGUGUUCACUUCUUUAGCAAACACUGAUUAAGCCCCUGCUGCUUAAAGCGUCUGGAUUGGGCGGGGCAUCGGGGGUGAAAGAGAGUAAAGAUUGAAAAAACAAAGAAAGAAACAACUCCUGCCCUCCCCGAGGGAUGUAGUAGUGAGGGAUGGAAUCCUAACCUAGGUCACUUUCAUAUGUAAUAUGCCAUGAGCGCACCUUGAUCCUGCACCAGCAGGCGGCCCUUGCUACCGUCAUUGAGGGGAGCAGCCCCCGUGGAGAAGGGGCCUGACAUCUGCCAACACCAACAACAACCACAGAGGAGCUGCGCUUCCGGCAGCCAAAAUGGAAGUAAAGGAUCUGAUUAUAACCUGUGAAAAUAAGAUGCAGACAGAGCUUGACCCUAUCUACCCCCAGCUGGUGAAACGGUGUAGCCUUCUAUCCUCGAUGGAUCUUCCAGGUGAAAUGCCUCUUGAUCUAC